UACGUAGGGGGCAAGCGUUGUCCGGAAUUAUUGGGCGUAAAGAGCUCGUAGGUGGCCAACUAAGUCGGACGUGAAAUCCCUCAGCUUAACUGGGGAACUGCGUCCGAUACUGGAUGGCUCGAGUUUGGGAGAGGGAUGCGGAAUUCCAGGUGUAGCGGUGAAAUGCGUAGAUAUCUGGAGGAACACCGGUGGCGAAGGCGGCAUCCUGGACCAACACUGACACUGAGGAGCGAAAGCCAGGGGAGCAAACGGG
rnacentral:rRNA from 1 species